UUUGUGUUUAAUCAAAUUAGCUGUUCCAGGGCUUUAAACUACGCCCCAUAAAGUGCAUUCAGAGUGCUUUAAAACAGAAGAAGUCAAUAAGACCGUUUGCUGAAUGCAGUUUGGUUCAGGAUAAGUCGUCAGCUUGCAGGUGCAGAAAGAGUGUCACCAAGUUCAAACCCCAUGCCCGUCCAACCCCUCACACCCAGCAGUCCCUCCUGCAGGAGAGUCCCAGCGUCUGGCAGUCGUCCUCCCAGACAUCAGACACCAAACCUGCAGCCUGCUGCUUGCGUAACCCUGCUCCGGAAGGAAACUUGCCGUGCAGCUAGAAUGACCCUUUUUUUUCAACCAUACUUCUGUGUGAUAAAACAUAUUUCCUGAACUCCUUUUCUGCCGAAGAUCCUCCUCAGAGUGUUUUUCUGAUUUAUAUGCAGAUCAGGUGUCAUCCAGAGAUGCUCCUACAGUAUCCUCCUCACUACAGAAAUCCCUCUCCCUGCACACAGACGUCUCUCACACACACUUAAAACAAAUUUACUCUCUGGGGUAUUGUCAUGCUUAAGAAAGAGACUUUUAAGAGUGUGUUUAGCAUUCAGGUUUGGUCAUUCACUCCCCGUCUCUGCCCAGAGAUCUUUGUUUGGCCGCUCCUCUUCAAACCGUGGAGUGUCAGGAGGGGCGGGGGGAUCGAUUUGAUUCUAAUCGGACCAUGAAAAGAACAUGAUCUAACUACUUUCAGACCGGAGUAUAUUUAGGCCCACUCCUCUUUACACUCUCCCUCUCUCGGUUCCCCCCCACUUUAGUGCAGCACAAUGAAGCUAGCCAAUCUAAAAAGCUUUGAAUGUCUCGUCAAUGACUUUGUGAAUGCAGGGGAGAGAGAUUUGGAGAGGAGAGAGGGAGCGAGGAAAGCAGGAGAAAAAGGAGGAAAAAAGGGCCAGGGAGCACACAUAAAAAUUCCAAGAGUUGUUUAAGCGUGGGUGGGUUCAUUUGCAUGACAGCGCCGUGUGAAUGCAGCUGACCUCUUGGACCGCCCCAGUGCUCGGCCGAGCUGCAGCCUGACGUGCAGGCUUUGACCCAGCUCAUUGACUCUGAAUGGAUACUCUGUCAAAGGGAGGGACCUUCAGCUCUCAGCCGGACGGGCAUCUGCAGACCUCCUGUUUGACACCCAGCUACCUCCAUGCACACACGUAGACACUCACAUUCACCAAACUGUUAGGCAGACGUCCAACACUCUCUUAUCGGAGACCCUCAGGCCUGUGAGACGCAAAAAGACGAAGUAAACAUCCAUAGAAACAGCUAUAGCAUUUACUUUUCUUUGCUUUUUCACAACACACACUCCCUCAGACACACAUAGACACAUGGCAGGUGCAGCAGAGCUGUUGCACGUGCAGGCCCAUCAACACGCUUCACUUGAUGGCUCUAUGAUUUAGUGCAUCAGGCAGGUGAGAGGACACAGAGAGGACCAGGGGGGCCGCUGGGCGAUGUAGUCUGCAUACAAAUCUCAGUCACUGCCCUGAACUCUCCCCCCUCCUCAACCUCCCAAACAAAGUUGUGACUCUGUGCAAACACAAAGCUCAGACAGCUCACAAACACACUCUCCAUUUAUCUGCUUGGCACAGAGCGGGGACGGUGCAGACAGGAGCUCCUGGCCCUGACCUCUGCUGUCUACGCACGGUGAAAAGAAGCCCGCUGCACUUGGAAAUGCAAACAGUGUGAAGCAAAACACUUGAUAAAUUUCCAUGAAUGAACUCGGAGAAAAAAGGCCGGCAUCCUGCAAAGAAUGGACGAUAAUGACGAGCGAGGGUGGUGUGGAUUUAUGUUGGAGAAUCACGCCACAGAAGAAGAUAUGAGCACUCACGAGGUUGCGUUAGUUUUAUAAAAUGUUGUAAAAAAAAAAAAAAAAAAGUAGAUUUAAAGAUAAUGCACGGAGUUUAAACUAAAAAGUAAUAACACUGUACACAUACUUUUUACACCAAUGUGAAAAAACUCAUUUGGAACAAAUAAAUCUUAACAUUACAAACUAUUUCUUUGUUCAAGAAUUGAUCUAUUUGAUCAGAUCGCUUUUUAAAAGCACUCUGACUGCUGUGAUUUCAUCUAAAGGUCUGGAUCAGAAAUGGCAGACCCCACUCUUCUCAGCGUUAAUUUGCUGCAUUUAAUUGAUUCUAUUUUAAUAAGAAGUGGAAGGGAUCAAUAUUAGCAUGUGUUUUCAAUGAAAUCUUUGAAACUGAAAUAUGGUGACUGACUCCAUCCAAGCAUGUGAUGAUGUUUUUAGAUUUAAGACACUUAAUACCACUUAUUAAUACUUCAUAUCCUCACCGGACUGUUCCACUCAGGCUUAUAAAAAUGAAUAGAGAUGGAAGUUCAAAUAGCUGUAAGUGGGAUUAAAUCUUUGUCUAAUGGCAGAUUUUCACAUUUAAACUGAAUCACAUGAAGUAAAGAGCCUGCACACACACACACACACACACACACACACACACAGAGUGUGUUCCUGCGGAGGGCGACUCCGUGCUGCUGCUGCUGCUGCUCCUGCUGCACCUGAUGACUCCCUGAAUCACCCACAGAGCUCCAGCCGCUUCAUGUGAUGCCACAAACUGCCCACCGCACAAUCAGCUGCCUGUUGUAUAAGAGGCUCUGCUGGGAUUAAAACACUUUAUGAGUUUCUCUUUUAAUAAACCUUGUGAUACCCUCCAUGGAUGCCUGCUUCUGAGUGGAAUAAAAAAAAAAGAAAAAAAAAAUUUACCUCUGCAGUCAUAUUCAACUCUUUAUGUAAACCAGACAGUGAAGCGAUAUUAUAGCAGACUGGUUCCUACAUUACUGAGGAACUGUAUCUGUAUUAUUUGUAUCAAGUUUUAUUUAAGACACAACAAAUCAGUUUUUUUAAGAAUUGUCAUAUUCUUUAGAGAGAGAAAAAAAACAAGUAAUGUUUUGUUAUUUCAAUCAAAGCAAUGCAACAUUAGCUGUUAUCAGUAAGCACUCCCCUGUCACAAACUGGAACUUCAAGGAGAACAAGACUCGUAAUUAAAAUAGUUACAGAGAGAAAAAGAGAGAGAGAGUUGGAUAGAGACCAGUAAACAGCCCAAAUAGAAAAGGAUAAGAUAAGAUAUAUCAAGAAAAUAUUUUAUUGAUUUCAAGAGGAGAAAUUUGUUUGUUGCAGACACUCAGACAUAACAGCAGGAUACGAGUAAGCAUAGAAGAUUUUUAGUCAAAAAUAUUCAUAACGAUAAUGUAUAAUAAGAUUUAAACCAAGGUAUACACAACUGCUAUUUAAAGAUGUGAAUGAAUGAAAGUCAUGCAGACCUGUUACAGGUAUAAUGUAAGAGGGCGAUUAAAGUCAAAGUUAUGAGACAAAGUGACACAGUAAGAUUUAAAAAAUGUUACAUAACUUGGUAUGAAGAUAAAUAAUCAAUCAAUCAAUCAACUUUAUUUAUAUAGCACAUUUAAAAUAACCACAAGGGUAGCCAAAGUGCUGUACAGUGACAUAAAAACAAAUAAAACAAUCAAAAAACAAGAUAACGCAAGCAGCAAUACAGUAAUACAAAAGAAUAAAUAAGUGUAUAAAUAAGGAGGCUCAUGGCAAGUGCUAAGAUGAUAAAAAACAAAUUAACACUACAAUGUACUAAAAGCCAAUGAGUAAAAGUGUGUUUUUAAAAGGGAUUUAAAAACAGUAAAUGAGGAGGCCUGUCUAAUUUUCAAGGGCAACUCAUUCCAGAGCUUAGGGGCAGCAGCAGCAAACGCUCUGUCCCCUCUGAGCUUCAGCCUAGUACUGGGGACCGUCAGUAAAAGCUGAUCAGCUGAUCUUAGGGGUCGGGGUGGGCAAUGAGGGUGGAGCAUCUCCGAA